UACGAAGGGUGCAAGCGUUAAUCGGAAUUACUGGGCGUAAAGGGUGCGUAGGCGGUUGUUUAAGUCUGUCGUGAAAUCCCCGGGCUCAACCUGGGAAUGGCGAUGGAUACUGGGCAGCUAGAGUGUGUCAGAGGAUGGUGGAAUUCCCGGUGUAGCGGUGAAAUGCGUAGAGAUCGGGAGGAACAUCAGUGGCGAAGGCGGCCAUCUGGGACAACACUGACGCUGAGGAGCGGAAGCGUGGGGAGCGAACAGG
rnacentral:rRNA from 1 species